GUGCGAUUCUGUGGAGUGUGAGGAGCUUAACACCUUCAUGCUUUGCAUAUUCGUGCUCUUGGGUGUACUUGCUCGUAUGGUUGGUCAACAUCAAUUUUGGUGGUCAUAAAAUGACUGGAGGAAUGUAGCCUUCGAUCUCGUAUUGAAGUGUUAUAGCCUUCGGUAGAUGUGAUGACUGAGAUUGAGGAUUGCAACGGAUACCCCUCGGGGCUCCUGUCUGAUCUCUGAUCGUUGCUCUGGUGCCGAAAGCUUG
rnacentral:rRNA from 1 species